AUACUUACCUUGUUCCAGUACUGUGAGAUCACGAACCCAUAGUACUAGUGCAGGGGGCCUGCAUUGCACAGCGCGGAGUCAUCCUGCACUCGAUUGUCCUUCGGGGCCAUCGGGGGCGCAAUUUUUGAUUC
rnacentral:snRNA from 17 species